GACGAACGCUGGCGGCGUGCUUAACACAUGCAAGUCGAACGGAAAGGCCCCUUUGGGGGUACUCGAGUGGCGAACGGGUGAGUAACACGUGAGUAACCUGCCCUUGACUUCGGGAUAACUUCAGGCAACUGGGGCUAAUACCGGAUAGGAAUCCUUGCUGCAUGGUGGGGGUUGGAAAGCUUCGGCGGUUUUGGAUGGACUCGCGGCUUAUCAGCUUGUUGGUGGGGUAGUGGCUUACCAAGGAUUUGACGGGUAGCCGGCCUGUGAGGGCGACCGGCCACAUUGGGACUGGGAUACGGCCCCGACUCCUACGGGGGGCAGCAGUGGGGAAUAUUGCGCAAUGGGCGGAAGCCUGAUGCAGCAACGCCGCGUGCGGGAGGACGGCCUUCGGGUUGUAAACCGCUUUCAGCAGGGGCGAAGCUUGUGGUGACGGUACCCGCAGAAGAAGCACCGGCUAACUACGUG
rnacentral:rRNA from 1 species